rnacentral:tRNA from 1 species
GGGCCAGUGGUCUAGUGGUGAUGACGCCUCGCUUACACCGAGGAAAUCGGGAGUUCAAACCUCUCCUGGCCCACCA